AUGACUUCUCAGCUUUUUGGCUAAGAUCGAGUGUAGUAUCUGUUCUUAUUAGUCAAUAUGUGAUACAUUUCAAUGUGAGGACAAUAUAUUAAGAGUAUAUUUUAAGCAGAGAGAUGGGAGUAGAAGUUUGCCCCAUCCAUUUAGCACAUUGAAGUUCCCCCUCAGGUAUUCACUUUCAAGUUAAAGAUGUAAGCUUU